rnacentral:rRNA from 1 species
GGUAAUGAUGGCAGAGAGGUCACACCCGUUCCCAUAUCGAACACGGAAGUUAAGCUCUCUAGCGCCGAUGGUAGUUGGGACCUUGUCCCUGUGAGAGUAGGACGUUGCCAGGC